CGCUGAGGCUGGUGGGUGGGCAUAGGCAGCCAGGCUGAAAGUGAGGCAUUGUGUGUGGAAAGGAGAGCUGCCAGCUGGGUCACAUGCCGGCUCUCUGCAGUCCUAUCUCAGGCCUUAGGGUCCCUUCUUACCCAGGGCCAAAUGGCUUCAACGAGAGAAGGAAGGCUUUCCUGCAGGUUUUCUCUGUUAUUAUUUCUCUAUUAUUCCAAUUCGAAUUCUAAUUCCAAUUCUGGGGGAAAAUUCUAAAUUCCUUCCUCUCUCUCUUUCAUUCCCUCAAAUUCCUCAGACUUCUGAAAUAUCCUUGAACUUAUCCUUGGGCUCUUGUCUUGGCCCAUCCCUUGGUUUAGACACCUCUUGAGUAGCAGCCCAGGGGGGAGGGCUGGAGGCAGCCUCUCACUCACCAGCACCCAGGGACACUCACACAACUCGAAACCCACUCUCCUCAGGGAGUUAGGUCCGGGCUGACAGCCCUGCCUUCCCCUCCCACCAGAUCCUCAACAUGCUAGUUCUUUAGCUCUUCCCCUUUUUUCCCUGUUUUUUUUUUUUUUUCCCCCCCUUUCCCUCAGAGGCAAUUUCCAAUUCUCCAUUUGGCUGGUCCCCUCACCCUGUCACCCUCCCUGCAUUCCCCUUCUGCUCUCUGGGCCCUCCUCCUCCCCCUGCUCUUCCAAAGGGAUUUUAAUUACACACCUACUGUGUACCCAAUACUGUGCUAGACAAAGGAAACUAAAAAAUGAGGGGUAGAGGUCCUGGGGACUCUUUGGAGCACUGGAGCCUAGUCUCCCAAGUUCUCCUCACCUAGGAGCUUCUGAAAGUCCUUUGUAAGCUUUAAAGGGCCCAAUGGUGUUGACUAUUAUUGCUACUGCUUUCAGGGAGAAGCUGGAAAUCCGUGGCCCCAUAUAGAAUCAAGAGAGAAUAUUAGCUGGAGGUUCAUAGUUGGGGAUCCAGGUCUGACUUACUUAGAAAGUGUAGGGGUAUGCCCCCACCCCCAUCAGUCCUCUAUCUUUUCAUGCCCUGCUUUCUUGGCUCCCUAAUUAAGGGAGUUCGGAAAAUAAGAAGGCUGGGAGGGUCGCCUGGGACCAGAGCAGUGAGGGAAAGAGUGGGGAGAGAAUCUCGAGACUGCGAGGAGAUUCCCUGCAGUGUGUACAGUGUGCAUACACAUUCUGCUCCCCAGCCCUCCCCCCAUCCCCACAAACAGUAAGCCUGGACAGGCAAAGGGGGAGGAAGGAAAGUGCUCCUCUCCCCAUUCCUGUCGCUUCCCCCACAUUCCUGAGUCCAUUAUUCAAGCUCCUUUUAUACUCCUCCCACCCCCCCCUCCACUCCAUUAAGUAAACCUGAAGUUGGGCACCAACAGACACACAGACAUCCAGAUGUACCUACCCCCUUCUGCAGCCAGGAUCCAAAUCACCUCCAGCAGGAGACUGAAGAACAGCAUGGUAUCCCCGGAAGAAGCAGGGGAUUUGGUUUUCAGUAGGGUACUGUAGGGUUUUGGAUCCCUAGGACAAAUCUUUCGCUGCCUCUUUUUAAAAAUCUACCUCUACAGUCUUCAGUCCACUUGCUGGCCAGCGACUUCACAAUUGCCUCCUGCUUUUAAGGUGGCUCUGGACGGGUGUACAGGGUGGGGGUGGGGGGGCUGCCUGGGUUGCUGGAGAACAGCUCCUUAAAUAGCCGAUUGGGCAUGCGGACCUGGAGUGUGCAGCUUCAUGGGAGCCCUGGCCCUGGCUCAGGAGCCCAACUGGGGUGAGCUCUUCCUUCCUCUGUUCUUCUCAUCGGCACUGUCCAGUGGAUAAAUAGAGUCUUAAAAAGAAAAGAAAAUAAAAGCUAGCUCAUGGAAAAUAAAGAAGAGAACUGAGGCAAGAGACCUUGCUUGGAGCGAUCUCUUCCUGCGCCUGUCACCACCCGCUUCCCACGAGUCAACAGCCUUGAGGAUGCACCCAUUUGAACUCACUCUGCGCUUGUCCCUCCUGCCAAGGAGCAAGAAGAAACCAAAACAAAGGGAGCAGAGACUAAAUGAGGGAGCAAGAUAAAUGCCAAAUGAACAGAAUAAUGCAUGUGCUGGAUCAUCCGGGCCUCCUGAGGCAGGAACUGCCUUGUCUUUCUGUGCCCUGUGAUUGAUCUGCAAAGCAAAACCAUUUGCCAGAUGUCAUUUCCUUCUUCAUUUGAUGGAUGUGAUGUGAUGACCCGUCAGAAUUAUUUUUCCCUUACAGAUACAUUUUAUGUUUUGAGGUUCCCCCAAAGCCCCAUCUCAUCCAAGAAGAAUAAAAGGUAUAAAGUGUAAACUAGACAUCCUGGAAAUCAGGAUAGUUAACACAGAGAAACAGAAAAGAAGAAAAGCAGAGACAUCUACUGCACAGGGUGGUGGUAGAGGGGGAGAAUAGGCCUGGACAGAAUGACCUCUGCCGGGUCAGAGUUCCCUUUCAGUGGCGCCUGGAAUUCAGCUUCCCCAGGCAGGUAGUGUCUUGCCAGGCGCCACCUCCUGGUUGUCUCGUGAAUUUUU